AGAGUUUGAUCCUGGCUCAGGAUGAACGCUAGCUACAGGCUUAACACAUGCAAGUCGAGGGAACGAUAUUGGAAGCUUGCUUCCGAUAGGCGUCGACCGGCGUACGGGUGAGUAACGCGUAUCCAACCUGCCCACCACGUUGGGAUAACCUUGACGAAAGUAAGACUAAUACCCAAUGACGUCUCUAGAAGACAUCUGAAAGAGAUUAAAGAUUUAUCGGUGAUGGAUGGGGAUGCGUCUGAUUAGCUUGUUGGCGGGGUAACGGCCCACCAAGGCGACUAUCAGUAGGGGUUCUGAGAGGAAGGCCCCCCACAUUGGAACUGAGACACGGUCCAAACUCCUACGGGAGGCAGCA
rnacentral:rRNA from 1 species